rnacentral:lncRNA from 1 species
AUAAGCUCAAUCUUACUUUAGUCAAAUUUCACUCCAAAACUGCUGGAGUUCCUGGUACAACAAACCAAUCUAAAGUCAGUAGAUGGUCACGCCAAGCUUUAAGCUAAAAGUUAGUUGCAUUAUGCCUUAAUUGAUCAUUAUCAAAAUGCUAAAACACAAGCCAACUAUUGCUCCACAAUUGUACAUAAAUGGAAUUUCAUGAGAAAAUUUACAUUGUGCGUAAUGCAAGCUCUAAAAAACAGCCUUAGCGCAUUAAUGCACAUUGUUGAACCCACAAACAAUGAUCACUUUUCGCGUUCUUUUUGGACAUUUGGUGCACUUGGAGCUUCAGCCAUCUGAUCAUCCAUCUUAUCUUUAUUUGAGCUGGUUGAGCUAUUCCCAUUCCGGCAGGCAGCCAACUCCUUUGGUUCUGAGUCGGAAAAUGCUGGAGAGGGAGAGGGUGAAGUCGUCUCUUCCUCAAUUGGAAGUGUUAGUUUUGACCCUUCUAGUGCAACACCAAG